ensembl:lncRNA
GCUUUAUUAUUAAUCCACCAUCUUCAGCUGACGAAGCUGAGGGUUAGGGAAGUUAAAUAAAGAUCACACUACAAAAACAUAGCAAGUUGGGAUUUGAAGUCAAGCGACCUGGCUUGGGAAACCAUUUCCUUCCCCACUGUGCUAUGGCUCAUUCUGAACUGCCGUUGCAAUGUGGAAUAAAUUCAGUUCAUCUGCUCUCUCCUUGCUAAGGUGGUGACAGGUUGAUUUAAGAGUGAGCAAGGGGAUGGACAUAGUUCCUGCCUGGAACCUCCUGGUGAGGGCUUCACAAGUCCAUACUUCUGGAGGAAUCUAGACCCAUAAGGCUUCCCACAAAUUCGUGGGAAACUCCCUAAGGGCAGGGCCAGGAAUUGAGAUGGGGGAAUUCUGAUUACCAAGAGAAUAAUAACAGGACAGGCCAUUGACUUAGCCUCCUACAUUUGUUUCUCACUUCUAAAACAGGCAUGGCUCCAUCAAGCACACAUCAGUGCCUACUACACUAGAAUCCCCUACUGGGGGCAGCGUGCAGUAUCCCCAACUGGGGAGGUCACUGGGACCCAGAGGAGACAACCUCCAAGUCUGUGAAGACUAAAUAGAAUAGAAAAUGUAAAGUCUGUUUGGAAAAUACUCAGAAGUUAGACAUAGAAUUACCACAUUACCCAGGUGUAUACAGGGACCCAAGCAGAUUCUUUCAUACCAGUAUUCCUAGCAGCUUACACACGCAGCCAAAAGCUGGAAACACUGCAAAUGUUCAGAGACAGAUGGAUGAAGAAUCAAAAUUUAUUAUAUCCAUCAAAUGGGAAGUAAUUCAGCAAUAAAAAAAAAAUGAAGUUUGGUACUUGCUUCAGUAUGAACAAACCUUGAAAACACUAUGCUAACUGAAAUUAGCCAGACACAGAAGGACAAAUAUUAUAUGAUUCCACCUAAAUGAUGAUGGACAAUAACACAGAAGUUACUGGUGUCUGAGGAGAAGGGAAUGAGGUGUUAUUAUUUAAUGAAUGCAGUGCUACCAUUUGCUAUGGAAGCUCUGGAAAUAGAUAGUGGUGAAGUUUACAAAUUAGGAAUGUACUUAAUGCCAGUGUACACUGAAAAAUGGUUAAAUGGUAAAAUUAUGUAUUUUAUCACAAUAAAAAAUAAAAUAUAAUUUUUAAAGUGUAAAAUGUCCAUGACAUCUGCAAGAGGCUGCUAGUUGCCUAGCCAACAUCCAUUUGUUUCUUUUUGUUUGUGAACAAAACCCUGAUUUGUUGGGGGCAGCAAUAAACCCAGCUAAAAAUCCAUUUCCCGGGUUCCCUGUAGAAACAGGGGGUGACAUCAGGGUAAACCAUUCAAUGAGACGCAAGAUUCCAAUACUGAGUGGAGCUUCUGGGAUAGCUUGUUAGAAGAUGAGGUGGAAGACAUCAGGCACGCUCCCUUUUGCCUUAAUCUCUACCUCUGGCUUCCAGCAUGGAAAAUAGGCGCAAGGGCUAGAGCUCCAGCAGCCAUUCCAGAAGCUGGAAAAUAAAGUUGGCUCUAGAGAAGCAGAGCAGAUGCUUCUCGGCCUUUCGGCUAAGAUCAGAGCAGAAGAACAAAGGAGCUUGAGACACCAAUGACUUUCUGAAGUUACUGUGACUUUUGUAACAUACUUGUCCCUGGACUCUAUGUUACAUUAGAGAAAAAUACCCAUCUCUGGUUUUCACCAUUGAUUUCCCAGUCUCUGCUACCUGCUGUUGAACACAAUUCCUAACCAAGUCUCUACAUUAACUCUAGGAAGGGGCUCCUCAAGCCAGGGUUGAUUUGAUGAUGUCAGUCAGAAACACUCUGGGGACUGAAGAUGUCAAACAAAUUAUCCACAGGCCUAAUUGGUAUUCAUUGAAGCAGGAGGAGCUGGGAAAACAGCCCUGCCUGUCUCACUGCCCCAGAUGCCAUCAUAAAAAAUGGAAACAUCAUUGCCUGUCCCCCGAGGUGGCCAUGUUGAUCAAUGUGCUUCCUCUUGAGUGAACUCAAGUGUGAAGUUUGCUGCCCAUAGAGUAGAAAGAGGACCAAGAGGCACCUGUCCUUCUCCUGCUAGUUUGAAAGGGAAGUGACAGCUACCAUGGCUGUGUUUCGUGAGUGACGAUGAUGAUGAUGAUGAACCCACCAGGGAAGACAGGCUGCCCCAUCAUCUUGGUGACUCAUUCUUCUCACAGUUCCUGGACAUCCUCUGCUCAUUGACCUUCACCUCUCCUCCACCCCAUACCAGCAACUUCCUGCUGGGUCCACACCCUGGACCUGGUCAGGGCAGGGACUACUCCACUGGCAUCUCGCCAUCUGACGCUCCACUGUCCUGCUGCUCCACCCUCCUCUUCUACUUCCCACUCCCUCUUCUCCCAUUCUUUUCCUCAUUAUGAGGGUGCAUAUUGAUAUGAGGAAGUUCCACACCCUCUGUCAAUGUUUUCGAUGUACAUGUCCUUUGGCCCAGUGUGCUCAGUAGCAUGCAUGCACUUUGUUCAGGAAAAAAAAAAGAAUUUAGAGAAUGAUAUACCAACAAAGCACUCAGUAAAUAAAUUGACAUAUAUCUAUAAAACUAAACACUAUGCAGCCAUUUUUAAAAACUGGUGCAAGAUUGGGGGGUGUACUGAUACGUGCCUAUAAUCCCACCCUGGAAGCUGAGGCAGGAGGUUCUAGUUCUAGGCCAGCCUGAGCUACAUAGAGAACCUGUCUCAAAAACAAAACAACUACAACAAAAACUAAAGCAAGGCUGGGAUUGGAGCUCAGUGUAGAGCACUUGCCUAACAUGUAUGAGUCCCAGAGUUCUAUCCCUGACACAAUCAAUAAGUCAAUACAUCAAUAAAUCAAUAAAUAAAUGAAAAGUUCCUCAACACACACAUUUGUAAAAGGUUAAAAUAAUAUGUACAUAUAUUCAUGUUAUAAAUAUAUACAUAUGCAGAAAGUGAUAUACAUGUAGAGAUACACACAUAUAUAUUAACUACGCUCAUCCCCGUAAUACACAAACAUGUACAAACACAAUCCACAAUACCUAUUGUGCUGUUUUUAAAAGGAUACAUAAGAAACAAGCAACAGUAGGAGACAGAGAUGGGUGAUAAGAAAAGGAGAUUUAUUCUUCACUCUGUGCUCUUCAGUUCUUGAAUUUUAAACAAUGUGCCAAUAUCAUCUAUCCAAAUAACUUUCAAGGAAGGUCCGGAGUUUGAUCCCUGGUACCCAAAAAGCAAAACAAACAAACAAAUAACUUUCAAAAAGAUGUUCAUUGAAGAAGUUCUCCCUACUUUUUCAUCUCAUAGUUAGGCUGCCAGUCAGAUUCAGCUCCAUGCCUGCCCUAGGACAACCUGUUGAGAUCCAGCUGACACCCCACCUUUUCCCUCACAGGCCUCAUAUUUCAGAGGGGAUGGUAGGUGUGAGUUCCAACAGCCCGAAUCUCCUUGCCUGAGGACUUUUUCUGGCCACCAGAGUCUACAUGUGCGACAACUCUCAGACCAUGACUCCCCUUGAAAUAGUCCCGUGAAAAACAUCCCAAAUGUCUAGUGUUCAGAAUGGGAAAUGAUUGGGACCCAAGGCUCUAACUUCAUUGAUGGAUUAAUCCAUUGACAAAUUCAUAGCUCAUAGGGUUUAUUAGGAGGUGGGGCCUAAUUGGAUGAAGAAGGCCACUGGGCCAGUGAAGGGUUUAUUUUGUCCCUAGCUCAUUCACUUAGGCUCUUCUCUUCUGACUCUCUCUCUCUGCUUCCUGGCUGCCAUGAGAUGAACAGCUCUCCUCUGCCAGGCCUCUCCACCAGGGUGCUCUACCUCAGACCACAACCCAAGAAAUAAUGUACCCAAGGUACCAUGGAUGGAACCCUGUGAAACCAUGAGCCCAAAUAGGUCUUUCCUCAAGUUGUUAUUCUCUGGAAUAUUCCCACAGUGAUGGAAAGCUGACUAAAACAAGUCCUAGCCAACAGCAGAUGAGAAUUGGGGCACAUGGGUGUAUAGAGAAUUCUUCAGAGGGAUGACUUAGGUGUAUCUCCAUGCUGGCUCCAGACUGCCCCAGGAGAAUUAAGCUCUGGGUCUUCUCAUUGCAUGCCCCUUAUUCCCUUCCCUGUCUCAUGCACUUCUUGGAUAUCAGCAUUUUUCUGGAAUCACCUCCUAGUAAACUCCUUGCUCUAAAACUCUUAAGAGUCAAGAUCUACAUUCAAGGAUGCUACAUGAAGAUGCAGCCAUUUUCAACCUCUCUCUCUUUCUCCCCCCACCCCAAAUGUGGCCAUUUUUCUUGACCAUCUGUGACCUCACAUGGUAAAUCUCUAACUGCUCCUACUGAACAAUACAGUGACCUUAGAAACCAUCAUUAGCCAUGUCAGCUGAUCCUACUCAAAUUUAGUAUCUGCAGCCUCAAGCUGACUCUUCAGUGUGGCUCACAAUUCCGAGACAGGUCCAUCCUCCUUUCCCAGGAGCAGCAUCUUCAAACUGUCAUUAGCAAGCUCUAGCAUAAUGUCCUGUCCCAGCCUUUUGCAGCAUCACCACCUACUUCCCCAUCAAGACUGGACUCCUGUUGAUUUCUCUACCAAAUCUAAGCAUUCCAUAAAUGUUUAUUUUCUUUCCAGAAUAGAUGAUUCUUCUUUGGGCUUUUCUUUGUGUAUAGUGUGGAAAGAUUUUGGAACCAGACAGACAUCCUGGCUCCACCAUUUAGCUAGUCUUGUGACUUCAGAUGAUAGGCUUAAUCUUUCUCACUUAUAACAAAAAGAUAACAGUAUCUACCUCUAGUGGUAGUUGGAAGAGUGAAGGAGCUAUUUCAUGUAAAGUAUCAGUCAGGAAUGUUUUAAAUACUCAAUAAAUAUUAUUUUCUGUAUUUUCCAAAUAUUCUCCAGUGGCCAUUAAUAAAUAUUUUUGAAAUCAGAAAAAAUGAGUAUUAUUAUGUGUCAGGUAAAAGGGCCAAAGACCAAGACCAGACCAGGCCACAACAAGCCUUUAUUAGGGGAAUAGAUCUGCCGGGCUGUCUCUGAACAAAGGAGAGACGAAAGCAAUAUGGCCGGGGCAGGGAGAGUCUUUUAUAGAGACUGGGGUGGGGCUUGUAGGGGCUGAGGCAGGGUUGAGUGAGGUAGUGACUAGGGAAUGGAGGAGCCGGUGAUGUCACUAGGUGGUAGGAGGUGAGCGAGUAUUAGGUUACUGUCUAGGUGGGAACAGGGGCAUGCUGGGAAGAAGGGUUUGUUCUUUGGUGGGAGCAACCAUCUUGGCAUGAUGUCACACAGGGGAGGGGGCAAGGCACCAUAGGAAGAGGGCAGCUACUAUAUUUAAUAGCUGCUGAGGUGGUGGGAGACCUAUCAUUAUGUAUGUGUGUUUAUGUUCAUAUUUCUGUUUACUAACUUGCUUCCUAGCUCCUUUCGUGGAAGAUAAGAGGUUUCUAUUUCUUUGGGCCAACUCUUCUAUCUGUACUCACUAACUGAGUGACAAAUUUGUCCAACAAGUCUCUGAUCCACUAGUUUUCUAUGUUCAUUCUUUGUCAUUAAAUCAGGCUCAAAUAUUUCUCAUCAAAAAAAAUCCUAUCCUGCUGUCUUAUAGAGUUAACUUUUCCCUGUCCUUUACUGCCUACAUUGCUCAACUCGUAUUACUCUCCAAAAUGAGAUUUAUGGCCCCACCUCUGUAACAAAUUCCUCUCACUAUAGCCAGUGAUAAGCUCAUAAUCACCAAAUUGCUCUUUUUGUUAAGUUCUCUUCCACUGGAUCUCUUAGAUUUGCAGGAUUUGACAAUGUCAGUGACAGCUCCCUGUGUCAGUUCAUUCAUCAAGAUUUCCUGAGUAUUUACCAUAACUGUUGUAUUAUGGACUGUUUAAGCACCAGGACAACAGUGAUAAAGGCCUUCUAUAUUGGGUUCUCCGGUGAAGCAGAGCUAAAGACAGGAGUUAAAUGUAAGUGAUUUACUUGGAAAGUGACCUCUGGGAACACUGAUUUGGAAGUCAGAAAGAAGUCCAAUGCAGACCCAUUCAUGAGCCCUAUGCAAAACUUAGUUCAGUCCUGCUGGGGAUAUCUCAGCAAUGAUUGAAAGCAAUCAGCAUUCUCCCCAUCAAGGUGAGGGGUAUUCCCACUCCAAAUCUCAUCAGUCACUACCUUCCAGGCACCUCCUGUCUGUCUCAGUCUGUCUCAUGUGAGGGCAAGCAUGCUACAGGAAGACUCAGACAGGAAAUUGCAGAUGCCUGCAGUGAGAAGCUGCUGGUAUCUAUGGUAACAGGGAUAGGUCAUGGGUACUGGCAGAUUCUGCUAUAGAAACAGGCAUGUUUCCUUUUCUGUGGAGAUUCCAGAGACAAACGAUAAAAUACAAGCCAAAUGUGAACAAUAGAAUUUCAGAUAGGGACAAAUGCUAUGAACAGGAUGUAGCAAUGUCAUAUGCUAGAAAGUAGGUAUUGAUUUCACACUUUGAAUGGAGCUCUCUUUCUCAUAUGUUGAAAUUCUAGCCCUAGAACUCUUUAUUCAAGUUAAAAUGAAAUCAUUAGGGGGCACUUUAAUCCAGUAUGGCUGACGUCCUUAUAAAAAGAAGACAUUUGGACACAUACAUAGAGGGAUAAUGAUGUGACAAGACAAAAGGAGAAGCUAACCAUGUAGAAGCCCAGGGAGAAGCCUAGGACAGAGUCUCCACAGCCCUCAGAAGGAGCUGACCCUGCCAAUAACUUCCUAUCAGAUCUCCAGCCUCCAGAACUGUUAGACAAUUAAUUCCUGUUCUUUUUUUGUUACACAGCCCUAGCUAACUAAUACACUGGGUAUCUGCUACUUAGAUGAGUGGUCAGGGCCUUGCUGAGGGGGUGAUGUUUUGGCUGAGGACUGGCUGAAGGUGAGUGCCAGCCCUGUAUAGGUCUGUGCAGACUAUAUUCAAAAGACCAGAAGUAAGUAAAGGACUUGGUAUGUUCAAAGAACAGAGAGAAGGCAUGAAGACCCGGGGGCUGGGUAGAGUGGACGUAGUGGAGAAUGGUACAGGACAGAGCUGAAGAACUUGGCCACAGGUUAGAUCAUGGUAACAAACUUUUCCCCAGAGUUCCAGGACUAUGUUGUAAACUUCAUGGUCAAAGUACAAUGGGAAACCAUUGGGAGAGUUAAGCAGAGAUAUGGUGUGAUCUGAUUGUUCUUUUGUAAAGCACUCUGACCACUGGAGGAUAUAUGGCCUAGGUAGUGACAUAAAAACAAGAUCUGAAGUUGGGAGACCCCUAAGGAGCCUCUGUUCCAGGCAGAGAUAGUAGUUUGCUAUGUGAGCAGCUGAGUGGUGAGCACUCACUAAGAUGAGAAAGCCUAGGGGAAGACAGGUUGGAGCCAGGUCAAAGCUAAUAUUGAUCCAGACCCUGAAGGAUGACGGUGCUGCAGGAACCCGUCCAGUGUACAGAAAGCUUCCAGGUAGGCAUGCCAUGGCUCCAAGCCCAGAGGAGACCUCCAGAUCAGUGCACCACAGCUCCCAGGCAGCAGGAGGCUUCCGGGUAGGCAUGCCAUGGCUCCGAGCCCAGAGGAGGUGAGCCGUGAGGGUGCCAGGAACACAGACCCACCCUAGUCCCCACCCCCAC